GAUGAACGCUGGCGGCGUGCCUAAUACAUGCAAGUCGAGCGAACGGACGAGAAGCUUGCUUUUCUGAUGUUAGCGGCGGACGGGUGAGUAACACGUGGAUAACCUACCUAUAAGACUGGGAUAACUUCGGGAAACCGGAGCUAAUACCGGAUAAUAUUUUGAACCGCAUGGUUCAAAAGUGAAAGACGGUCUUGCUGUCACUUAUAGAUGGAUCCGCGCUGCAUUAGCUAGUUGGUAAGGUAACGGCUUACCAAGGCAACGAUGCAUAGCCGACCUGAGAGAGUGAUCGGCAACGCUGGAACUGCGACACAGUCAAGACUCCUACGGAAGGCAGCAGUAGGCAAUCUUCCGCGAUGGGCGCAAGCCUGACGCAGCAACGCCGCUUGAGUGAUGAAGGUAUUCGGAACGUAAACCUCUGUUAGUAGGGAAGAACAUAUGUGUAAGUAACUGUGCACAUCUUGACGGUACCUAAUCAGAAAGCCACGGCUAACUACGUG
rnacentral:rRNA from 1 species